GAGCGCCGUAGCAAUACGGAGCGGCAGACGGGAGAGUAACACGUGGGAACGUGCCCUUCAGUUCGGAACAACCCAGGGAAACUUGGGCUAAUACCGGAUACGUCCGUAAGGAGAAAGAUUUAUCGCUGAAGGAUCGGCCCGCGUCUGAUUAGCUAGUUGGUGAGGUAAUGGCUCACCAAGGCGACGAUCAGUAGCUGGUCUGAGAGGAUGAUCAGCCUCACUGGGACUGAGACACGGCCCAGACUCCUACGGGAGGCAGCAGUGGGGAAUAUUGGACAAUGGGCGCAAGCCUGAUCCAGCCAUGCCGCGUGGGUGAUGAAGGCCCUAGGGUUGUAAAGCCCUUUCGGCGGGGAAGAUAAUGACGGUACCCGCAGAAGAAGCCCCGGCUAACUUCGUG
rnacentral:rRNA from 1 species